UGACGAACGCUGGCGGCGUGCUUAACACAUGCAAGUCGAACGGAAAGGCCCUGCUUUUGUGGGGUGCUCGAGUGGCGAACGGGUGAGUAACACGUGAGUAACCUGCCCUUGACUUUGGGAUAACUUCAGGAAACUGGGGCUAAUACCGGAUAGGAGCUCCUGCUGCAUGGUGGGGGUUGGAAAGUUUCGGCGGUUGGGGAUGGACUCGCGGCUUAUCAGCUUGUUGGUGGGGUAGUGGCUUACCAAGGCUUUGACGGGUAGCCGGCCUGAGAGGGUGACCGGCCACAUUGGGACUGAGAUACGGCCCAGACUCCUACGGGAGGCAGCAGUGGGGAAUAUUGCACAAUGGGCGGAAGCCUGAUGCAGCAACGCCGCGUGCGGGAUGACGGCCUUCGGGUUGUAAACCGCUUUCGCCUGUGACGAAGCGUGAGUGACGGUAAUGGGUAAAGAAGCACCGGCUAACUACGUGCCAGCAGCCGCGGUGAUACGUAGGGUGCGAGCGUUGUCCGGAUUUAUUGGGCGUAAAGGGCUCGUAGGUGGUUGAUCGCGUCGGAAGUGUAAUCUUGGGGCUUAACCCUGAGCGUGCUUUCGAUACGGGUUGACUUGAGGAAGGUAGGGGAGAAUGGAAUUCCUGGUGGAGCGGUGGAAUGCGCAGAUAUCAGGAGGAACACCAGUGGCGAAGGCGGUUCUCUGGGCCUUUCCUGACGCUGAGGAGCGAAAGCGUGGGGAGCGAACAGGCUUAGAUACCCUGGUAGUCCACGCUGUAAACGGUGGGUACUAGGUGUGGGGUCCAUUCCACGGGUUCCGUGCCGUAGCUAACGCUUUAAGUACCCCGCCUGGGGAGUACGGCCGCAAGGCUAAAACUCAAAGGAAUUGACGGGGCCCCGCACAAGCGGCGGAGCAUGCGGAUUAAUUCGAUGCAACGCGUAGAACCUUACCUGGGUUUGACAUGGAUCGGGAGCGCUCAGAGAUGGGUGUGCCUCUUUUGGGGUCGGUUCACAGGUGGUGCAUGGCUGUCGUCAGCUCGUGUCGUGAGAUGUUGGGUUAAGUCCCGCAACGAGCGCAACCCUUGUUCACUGUUGCCAGCACGUUAUGGUGGGGACUCAGUGGAGACCGCCGGGGUCAACUCGGAGGAAGGUGGGGAUGACGUCAAGUCAUCAUGCCCCUUAUGUCCAGGGCUUCACGCAUGCUACAAUGGCUGGUACAGAGAGUGGCGAGCCUGUGAGGGUGAGCGAAUCUCGGAAAGCCGGUCUCAGUUCGGAUUGGGGUCUGCAACUCGACCUCAUGAAGUCGGAGUCGCUAGUAAUCGCAGAUCAGCAACGCUGCGGUGAAUACGUUCCCGGGGCUUGUACACACCGCCCGUCAAGUCAUGAAAGUUGGUAACACCCGAAGCCGGUGGCCUAACCGUUGUGGGGGAGCCGUCGAAGGUGGGAC
rnacentral:rRNA from 1 species